rnacentral:rRNA from 1 species
UUGAUCUCAAAUCAGGUGGGACUACCCGCUGAACUUAAGCAUAUCAAUAAGCGGAGGAAAAGAAACUAACAAGGAUUCCCCUAGUAACUGCGAGUGAAGCGGGAAAAGCUCAAAUUUGAAAUCUGGCGGUCUUUGGCCGUCCGAGUUGUAGUCUGGAGAAGCGCUUUCCGCGCCGGACCGUGUACAAGUCCUCUGGAACGGGGCGUCGUAGAGGGUGAGAAUCCCGUCUUUGACACGGACUGCCGGUGCUCUGUGAUGCGCUCUCGAAGAGUCGAGUUGUUUGGGAAUGCAGCUCAAAACGGGUGGUGAAUUCCAUCUAAAGCUAAAUAUUGGCGAGAGACCGAUAGCGAACAAGUACCGUGAGGGAAAGAUGAAAAGCACUUUGGAAAGAGAGUUAAACAGUACGUGAAAUUGUUGAAAGGGAAACGCUUGAAGUCAGUCGCGUCGUCCGGGAUUCAGCCUUGCGAUCUAGCUCGGUGUACUUUCCGGUUCGACGGGCCAGCAUCGAUUUUGACCGUCGGACAAAGGCGGGGGAAAUGUGGCACCCUUUUCUGGGUGUGUUAUAGUCCCUCGUCGGUAUACGACGGUCGGGGUCGAGGAACUCGGCACGCCUUUGUGGUCGGGGCUUUGCCCACGUCUCGUGCUAGGAUGCUGC